CUGGGACCUUGUUAUGAAAAUCAGCUCAGUGCACAGUGUGGCCUCAGUCAGAGAAAAACCACCUGGAGCAGCCCUGGGUUUGCAGCCACAUCAGGACAACGAGCAAAGGAGCACAGAGACAGGCAGAACUUCCUCGGUUACAUGGUUUGUUUAUAAAACCCCCAUUUAACCUACAGCUUCGAGGGAUCUGAACAUCAGAUAACAGACUGCUCCAGAGUUCAGUCUUUUCCCAGGCUGGGCCAGUAACUGAUGCUUUCACAUUGCUCUGGAACACCUAAUGAAAAGAUAAGCAACGCAUCCGCCUGCCAAAAUUCUCACUAGCAAAACGCUUCCACACAGAGGUCAUUUAAUGAGCAGAGUAAGGACAAGCAGGAUCAAAACACUGAAGAAACAUCCACUGUGCAGUCAUAUGAUUUCCUUGGAUCUGUUUCUAAAGAGAUGUUUUGGAUUUUAUUCAGAUGUUGGCAAUGCUCACAAUGUAGGAUGAUAUAUGAACGAAGGACAUGGGACCACUAUGUGCCUGCAUAGUCUGCUUCUUCUGGCCAAACAGGACUACAGGUCCAAUGAUGUCACUUGAUUUACUUUACCCAGUACAUUCAGGUACUGAAGCUACGCUCUUCAUUACUGUUAAGACAUGCAGAGGAGUGCAGAAUGCUGCCAGGUGGAGACUCUUGAGAAAUGACGUGUAGAGCCAAACACAGCAAAUCCCUCAGGACAAGAGUCGAUACAGACAGACAAGAGAAGAGGAGAUAAUGACCUCUCACUGCUGUACCAGGCAGACAGAGUCAAGAAAUUACAGAGGAACCAGUAACUGAACUCCUGAAUUUACUGUGUUUAUCAAAAUAGUGAGUGAGCU
rnacentral:lncRNA from 1 species